rnacentral:lncRNA from 1 species
UGGGUCCCGACUAGCUCACAAAAGGCAUAGACCGAUCGGAUAUCUAGAUACCUCUAACCGGGCGUGUUCGUUACCUGCGUAGGAAGAAGCAAUACUACUCCUCGAUCUAAUCACUAUUAUUGAUGAUCAUAAUAUUGCUUCAUUUUUCACUAUUCAGGACCUAUGUCGCGAUCGUUAAGCCUCCGUAGCAACCCGAGAUCGUUCUCAACAAAAUCCCACGCGGCAAAAGGAUUGACAAGUCACAUUUCCCCGACCCAGCUACGUACGGUACCACUACGUAGUAUGCACUCCGUGCUAUGUGUGGUAUUAAGUACAGAUCACACGAGAAGGCAAAGGACGAUUGACCCUUGCCAUUCGUUGCAUCUCCAAACAUUGCAUAUUCCCGUCGCAGAUCACAGAAAACAGGCAAGCCACAUCGCGGUUCCAAAAUACCGGCACCAUCGCUUAAGCAUUGAGACCGUUACGCACGGCUGCCGAUCAAUUCUUCUCUAUUUCUUCUCGACCACGAAGAAUGACGAAACUAGUAGACAUUGCCUUGGAAAACGAGAGAUUAAACCUCCACCAAGCUGUGUUGAUGAAGGAUCCACACCUGGUACCUACCUGUGGGCCGCUGAACGGAUUGCGCUAGGACAAUGAUUUGGAAUUAUUGUGCUCCACAGUUGAUCCCCUAUUCUGUUAGUGUUAUCGUUACUCCUUCAUUCUCCCUAGCAGAGUCCCUACCAAGCAUUGCCGUUGAGUCUGGGAUAAUCUAAAGUACGUAUCCCUAAAAUUGAAAUUGAGGUUGACAAGGAUAUCGGCGUCUCGGUGACCAUGGGUAUGUGCAUAGUCAAUAGGUAGCCCAAGCUUCGCUCGGGUUUUGACUGAAGAAUCGUGCAGAGUGGCACAUGUAGCACAUGUCGAUAAGUAAUGAACGCUGCAAACAAAGGGAAAAUCAUGGCGGGGAAGAAUACCCCCGUAGUAGGAAGACUGCCAGGCACAAGGGACGUUCAGCCAAAGAUUUAGCUCUCGACAUUUGAGACUACCCUUGCUACAAUCCAUACUUCUAAGGGGGAAGUACUAACCGCAGUUCGGUAGUAGUCAGGUACCUAGACCAUAGAUUUCAUUGACGGCAUGCCGUAUUUCAUUUGGCGAUCUUGCAAAAUCCUUCUCCCCAACAGACCGUGGAUCUCCGAGAUUGUCAUCGCUGUACGCUCAUUCGUUCCCAAACAUUCGAAACUAAACAGGGGUACGGUUCAUCUUUCCAAUAAUAAUAUCGCGAAUUAUAGUAUACAUCGACUCAAAGAUGAGCUGAAUCGGGAAGCUCAGAUUAGAGGGUGUAGAUUAAUUAAUCCAACACAUACGGAGUACGCACUUGAGAAUAAGAGCUCCUUGAUGUCUAUUUUCGCCCGGAAUCAAUAUCCCCGACCAAUCAAUCAAGGAUAACUACCUAUCAAUUCUGACGCAUUGUCCUUUCACACCUAAAAUUAAGAACAUUUCCCCCAAAGUGCCAGCGCCAACGGCUGUCUGAAGGUGGUUAGGGCUUGCCGCUAAAAUAACGGCGCGGCCCCUCUUUCAUUUGUGACCCUUUUGUUGGUCUUGUAGGCUUGUGGUGUUAGCAAAACUAAAUUGACAGGGCUUGAUGACUUAGUAACAAGCGGCCCGAUGACCAAUGAUUUCAUUGAGUUGGCGAGUAACAAGGAUAUGCCUGGUUCAACAUCAUCACUUUGACACCUCCGGGACCGGGAAGGAUUUCGCCUCUAGAUGAAGAGGUCAUUAAUUGGCCCUUCGCUUAUAUCAUUUGACCUGAUUGACUUGAUUCAAAUUAUGUCUUGACAUCCAGACACUGGAAAUGUAAAUUUUUAGCUUGGGUAUCUACGUGGUAGUGAGUGGAGAUCACCGCCCGUCAUUACUCUGUAAACAACUGAUCUGCCCAUGUUCCUUUUUCUGUAUAUUGCGCCUAG